AUACGGAGGACGCGAGCGUUAUCCGGAUUCAUUGGGUUUAAAGGGUGCGCAGGCGGCCGUGCAAGUCAGCGGUGAAAGCCCGGGGCUCAACCCCGGAAGUGCCGUUGAUACUGCAUGGCUGGAAUGCGGUCGAGGCGGGCGGAACGUGGCGGGUAGCGGUGAAAUGCGUAGAUAUGCCACAGAACGCCGGUAGCGGAGGCAGCGCGCCAGGCCUGCAUUGACGCUCGGGCACGAAAGCGGGGGGAUCGAACAGGAUUAGAUACCCGGGUAGUCCACGCCGUAAACGAUGGGCGCUCGUCGUCGGCGGCAGACAGUCGGCGGCCAAGCGAAAGCGAUAAGCGCCCCACCUGGGGAGUACGGUCGCAAGGCUGAAACUCAAAUGAAUUGGCGGGG
rnacentral:rRNA from 1 species